rnacentral:lncRNA from 1 species
GAGAGGGGUUAGGCAGGAGGGUGGCCAAGGGAAAGGACGCACUUGGAGCAGGGGGUCUCAUUCCUUGGUCAUCUACCCCUUCCUUCUCCUGCUUUCCUGUGACUAACCGUGUCUCCUCCCUCAUGUCCUCCCUCAUCCCUGUGGCUCUUCUUUCUGCCAUAUGUUGCAUUCUCUAUGGACACACUCACAAGACCCUCAGAGACAAACUAAACCAGGGCAGUUCUGCUCAACCACCAGCAGCCUCUGUGACCUGUUUACCUUACCCAGGAGGGGCAGUUUUUAGGUUUUUUGUUUUUUGUUGUUUUUUUUUUUAAUAGAUUAUUUUUAGAACAGAAAACAAUUCUACAAAAAAACUGAGAAAAUAGCAUAGAGAGUUCCCAUGUAGCUUAUGUCCAGCUUCCCUAUUACUGAUUUCUCGUGUUAACACAGGACAUUGCUGCAAUUACUGAAUGACAUAUUGCUGUCUAAAGUUCAUGUUUUAUUCCGAUUCUCUUAGUGUUUACUAUCACCUGGACCUGUCCCCCUGCCUAUCUGCCGCUUUCUAGCCCUCUUACCUGUUUUCUCUAAUCUCCCACCAAGCGAAAAACGAAUGGAAAAUAAUCAUGAAUUGAUGGUGUGUAUGUCCAGUCUUGUGAGAGAACGUAUGGGAUCAGCAGAUGGUUAUAAAGGAAUCUCCAUGUGCCAGGUGUUUUCAAUAGUCUGGCAGCCAGCCCUCAACUGCUGGACACUCCCCUCCUCAAAGCCAUCACUGAGAAUCCCCUCAUGCUUCCAUCCAGCUUCCCCUAGUAUUAAUAUCUCAAAGAACCAGGGCUGUCUUUUUAGUUAUCUACAAUCUGUGACUGGUUUUCAGACUCUUCUUGUUUUUUAUGACUUGAUACUUUUGAAAAGUACCAGUCAGGUAUUUUGCAGAAUGUCCUUCGAUCUGCAGGCGUGGUGGUGCAUGCCGGUAAUCCCAGUCACUCAGGAGGCUGAGGCAGGAGGAUGGCAAGUUCCAGGUUAGUCUCAGCAACUUAGUGAGACUCUGUCUCAAAGUACAAAAUAAAAAGGGCUGGGAAUGUGACUCAGUGGUGAGUGGCCAUAG